UAGGGAAUCUUCGGCAAUGGGGGGAACCCUGACCGAGCAACGCCGCGUGAGUGAAGAAGGUUUUCGGAUCGUAAAGCUCUGUUGUUAAGGAAGAACGAGUGUGAGAAUGGAAAGUUCAUGCUGUGACGGUACUUAACCAGAAAGGGACGGCUAACUACGUGCCAGCAGCCGCGGUAAUACGUAGGUCCCGAGCGUUGUCCGGAUUUAUUGGGCGUAAAGCGAGCGCAGGCGGUUAGAAAAGUCUGAAGUGAAAGGCAGUGGCUCAACCAUUGUAGGCUUUGGAAACUGUUUAACUUGAGUGCAGAAGGGGAGAGUGGAAUUCCAUGUGUAGCGGUGAAAUGCGUAGAUAUAUGGAGAAACACCGGUGGCGAAAGCGGCUCUCUGGUCUGUAACUGACGCUGAGGCUCGAAAGCGUGAGGAGCGAACAGG
rnacentral:rRNA from 1 species